GACGAACGCUGGCGGCGUGCCUAAUACAUGCAAGUCGAGCGAAGUUUUUCUGGUGCUUGCACCGGAAAAACUUAGCGGCGAACGGGUGAGUAACACGUAAAGAACCUGCCUCAUAGACUGGGACAACUAUUGGAAACGAUAGCUAAUACCGGAUAAUAGCAUUAACUGCAUGGUUGAUGUUUAAAAGUUGGUUUUGCUAACACUAUGAGAUGGCCUUGCGGUGCAUUAGCUAGUUGGUGGGGUAAAGGCCUACCAAGGCGACGAUGCAUAGCCGACCUGAGAGGGUGAUCGGCCACACUGGGACUGAGACACGGCCCAGACUCCUACGGGAGGCAGCAGUAGGGAAUCUUCCGCAAUGGGCGAAAGCCUGACGGAGCAACGCCGCGUGAGUGAAGAAGGAUUUCGGUUCGUAAAGCUCUGUUGUUAGGGAAGAAUGAUUGUGUAGUAACUAUACACAGUAGUGACGGUACCUAACCAGAAAGCCACGGCUAACUACGUG
rnacentral:rRNA from 1 species